rfam:Haemonchus contortus, ISE/inbred ISE, WGS project CAVP01000000 data, contig: Hcontortus_48889
GGCACAGGUCUGAAGUAGAGUAGAUUACAUGAUCAGCUGACCCUACUAAUCUACUCUACUUUGAACUUGUGCCC